rnacentral:lncRNA from 1 species
GUUGGUUUAGGUAUGCUUUUUUUGCUUGUGUUCCGUACAAUUGUUUGGCGCAGACAUGUUGACCUUUUAACGGUAAAAUUUUGGACUAUUAUUAUGUUAUGGGUGGCACGUAGUACUAAACUACAAUAUAUUUUUAUAUAAAAUAAUCGAAUUUUAUUAUUCGGAUGUAAAUGUUAAUUUUAAAAAUUUUAAAAAUUCAUUAACUAGUGAUUUUGCAGAAUCUAUUACACAUACAUGAUAAUUUAUUAUCGAAUUAUAAAUGAAAUUAAUAUCAUUUCAGUAGUUGUAGUCUAACAAUAAAAAAUCUCAUCACUAGUGGAGUCUCAAAAUUAAUAUAAAAAAUAUGAAUCUUAUUAUUGGCUAAAGCAUUUAACCCAUUACUCGUGGUUAAAACUUCUCGGUACACCUUUUAUAAGAGAUCUCAGUAUAUCCGCCAUUUUCUUCCUGUUCAGCUCCCAAAUCCUCGUUGUUGCCAUCACCACUUUUUCACCCACCAUCACCUCGUCCUCUUCUCUUUCUUCUUCCUCUGUGUCUCUUACCUCUCUCUUCCUUCCUCUAUCGUUGUCAUUGUCGCCCACUAUACAAAUGACCAUCAUUUUCCAUCACCCAUGGCCACCACACCACCACUCAAUACCACUUAUUCACCUUCUCGAUCACCUCGUUAACUGUACUCUCCACCUCACAAUUCCCUUAGCCUAGAUUUAAAAUAUUAACCUCCCUCACCAUCUAGUAUGUCUUUGACAACUCACACGGAAUUUGAGAAUUUUACAUUUGUGAUUUGAAAGAGAGUUAAACUUUUUAUAUUACUGUAUAUAAGUGAAUUGUGUAACUAGUGCAAGUAAAAUAAGUGCGAGGGAUAAGUGAAAUGUGCAAAUGAGUACACAAAAAAGCACCAUGAUAAAUUGCAAUUUAAAAAAAAAGAAUGAUAUUAAAAUCAGUAGUAAUUUUUUUUUGAGAGAAUAUUUUUAAGAGCAUCUCCACCCACCUCUAUAACUCUUUUUGGAGACCAAAAAUAAAAAAAUCUCCUCUAACCAAACUCAAUUUGGGUCUUUAAAAUGGACACCUCACUUUGAAUAUCCAUAUUUGGAGAUUUCUUAUUUCCACUAUUAUUUUUUGUACAGUAUGCAUAACUUUUUAUUUAUAAAUUAUAUUUUUUAUAAAAUUGGUAAUAUUAUCGAAAAGAAGGCAACGAGAGCUUUAAAUGAAGAUCAAUAUUCUCUAAUAUAUAUAUAUAUAAGAAAAGUUUUUAAAAAUAUUAAUUGAACUUUUUAAAUUUAAAAUGAAUGGUUUAUAUUUCUUUAAAUUUAUAGGGCCAUAUAACCAAUUGAAUCUGAACUAUCCACUUUAAAUUUAAUUUUUUUUUAUUAAUUCAAAUUUAAAAACCAUAAAAAAUCUCUAUUCAAAACGGAGAUACGCAUAAAAGAAAGAUAGUAAACACGGUGAGAGAACGUUGAAUUGAUGCUUGGUGGAGGACAAAAUUGUCAAGCUAAAUUGACCGUAGUGGCGCAAAAAGUAAGCUGUGUUAGGUGAAAGAAUAGGAAACUUCCCAGUUCCCACUCUCUUUCAAGUAGUCUCUCUCUCAGCCCUGAAGUUCACCUAACACUAGUUCAGUCUUCGUAAUUCCAAUCACGUCCCUAGACCAAGAGUCGUCGUCGCCGUCAACGUCAAACAACAGAGACUGGUUCUUCCCAUCGACGUCGUUCAUCCACCACAAUAGAACCCGCACCAGACGCUUCUCCACGAACCCCAGGCCUCGAAGGACCUAAGCUUCUGACCAGGGCGGUAGCAAAGAGUCCGUAGCACGGGUUAUAACCCCUCAUUUUUAGAAAAUUAUAAAAUUUACUUUAGAUUUUUAAAAUUUUUUAUAUUUUAAUUUUUUAAAAUAUAUUUAAAAAAAUUUAUUUUUUUUUUACACUUUAGCCCCGCUAACCUAAAAUUCUGGAUCCGUCUUACUUCCGACCCCUACUCCUAGAUAGCUCGGGUUGUGGAAUUUUUUGGAAGACCCGAGUCCGUUGGAGUUGUGAUGAGAAAAUAUACUUUUCCUAGCAAUUACUCCGUUGGUAGUAAUUGCUGAGAAGGAAUGAGAUCUUCUCAUUUUCUGUCACACAACGGAUGGGGGUAUUUAUGGUGUUUUAAUUUUGUUUUUUAGUGUCGAUGGUACUGUUGUGGUUUCUGUUUGCAGCUUAUGACCCAGUAAUGACUAAUAAGCGGAGGAAAAAAAGGUUAAUUAAUGAAAGCUAGAGAAGUUGCUUUUAGAUUACUAGCUUUUAGCUUCCAGAAGUUGCACCCAACUGGAAGAUAUAGAGGUUUCUGUAUCAGGAUUGUUUAAAUUGAAGGUAUGAUGAUCCGGGCUUAAAGACACAGUGGUCUAGACUUAGGACUUGAAAGUCUCCCUUCUUUCUAGGUGCUAUUAAUUUAUGAGUUAGGUCAGUUCCUACAAGCAUUUACUCCUGCUUUAAUCAGAGCCAUUCAUUAGAGACUUAAGACUUGGAAGUCUCCC